UGACCGAUGGUGUAAUGGUAACACAGGAGAUUUUGGUUCUCUUAUUCAGGGUUCGAAUCCUUGUCGGUCAACGA
rnacentral:tRNA from 2 species